rnacentral:rRNA from 1 species
GGGGGUUUAGUGGCGACGGGUGAGUAACACGUGGGCAAUCUGCCCUUCACUCUGGGACAAGCCCUGGAAACGGGGUCUAAUACCGGAUAAUACUUUCUCUCUCAUGGGGGAAGGUUAAAAGCUCCGGCGGUGAAGGAUGAGCCCGCGGCCUAUCAGCUAGUUGGUGGGGUAAUGGCCUACCAAGGCGACGACGGGUAGCCGGCCUGAGAGGGCGACCGGCCACACUGGGACUGAGACACGGCCCAGACUCCUACGGGAGGCAGCAGUGGGGAAUAUUGCACAAUGGGCGAAAGCCUGAUGCAGCGACGCCGCGUGAGGGAUGACGGCCUUCGGGUUGUAAACCUCUUUCAGCAGGGAAGAAGCGAAAGUGACGGUACCUGCAGAAGAAGCGCCGGCUAACUACGUGCCAGCAGCCGCGGUAAUACGUAGGGCGCAAGCGUUGUCCGGAAUUAUUGGGCGUAAAGAGCUCGUAGGCGGCUUGUUGCGUCGGUUGUGAAAGCCCGGGGCUUAACCCCGGGUCUGCAGUCGAUACGGGCAGGCUAGAGUGUGGUAGGGGAGAUCGGAAUUCCUGGUGUAGCGGUGAAAUGCGCAGAUAUCAGGAGGAACACCGGUGGCGAAGGCGGAUCUCUGGGCCAUUACUGACGCUGAGGAGCGAAAGCGUGGGGAGCGAACAGGAUUAGAUACCCUGGUAGUCCACGCCGUAAACGUUGGGAACUACGUGUUGGCGACAUUCCACGUCGUCGUGCGCAGCUAACGCAUUAGUUCCCCGCCUGGGGGAGUACGCGCAGCUAACUCAAGAUGACGGGGCCCGCACAGCAGCGGAGCAUGGUGGCUUAAUUCGACGCCAACGCGAAGAA